UACCGGAGCAGCGCAGCGCAAACACGAGCGCUCGCGCAGUCCGCGGAGGUGCGAGUCUCCCACCCAGAUUACAUCAGCAUGAAUAACAGAUUACAGCAGGCGUUAUCAGAGCGAUCGGUGAGAUGUGAAGUGAACCGUCAGUGCAAUUCAUAAAGCCUGUCAUCGGUUACAGAGGCGUCACUCUCACUUCAUGCCAAACGUCACCGUCGCUGUCACACGUAAGGCCUGUCAGAUGUCAGAAAGAGAGUGCUGGUAAUUCAGUACCCAAAGAGUUGAAGAUGAUGGACACACAGCGUGCUUUGCUGGCAGUGGAGCGGCUGCAGGAGAGGCUGAAGAAGAAGGGAGAACUGCCUGCUGAGGAAAAUCUCAGUCUGCUCAAGAGUGUCUUACAGAGUCCCCUGUUUCACCAGAUACUCAUCAUGCAAGACACCGAACAUCAGCAUCAGCAACAACAGG